UACGAAGGGGGCUAGCGUUGCUCGGAAUCACUGGGCGUAAAGCGCACGUAGGCGGGCUUUUAAGUCGGGGGUGAAAUCCUGGAGCUCAACUCCAGAACUGCCUCCGAUACUGGAAGUCUCAGAGUCCGGGAGAGGUGAGUGGAACUGCGAGUGUAGAGGUGAAAUUCGUAGAUAUUCGCAAGAACACCAGUGGCGAAGGCGGCUCACUGGCCCGGUACUGACGCUGAGGUGCGAAAGCGUGGGGAGCAAA
rnacentral:rRNA from 1 species